rnacentral:rRNA from 1 species
GUUGUUCGGAUUCACUGGGCGUAAAGGGUGCGUAGGUGGCAAGGUAAGUUCGAUGUGAAAUCUCCGGGCUUAACCCGGAAAUGGCAUUGAAUACUAUCUUGCUUGAGGGUUGGAGGGGGGACUGGAAUUCUCGGUGUAGCAGUGAAAUGCGUAGAUAUCGAGAGGAACACCAGUGGCGAAGGCGAGUCCCUGGACAACUCCUGACACUGAGGCACGAAAGCUAGGGGAGCAAACAGG